rnacentral:rRNA from 1 species
GGUUAGAGUUUGAUCCUGGCUCAGGAUGAAUGCUGGCGGUAUUGAUAAGGCAUGCAAGUCGAGCGGAGAUUUCUUUGAAGGAUUAUGCGAUUACAUCAAGUGGUCCGACGUUGAAAUCUUAGCGGCGAACGAGUUAGUAACAUCUUGGAACAUACCUCGAAGUCGGGCACAACGGGUCGAAAGAUCCGCUAAUUCCCGAUGGUGCAGCAAUGCUAAAGUCGCAAGACGCUUCGAGAGUGGCCUAGAUCCUAUCAGCUUGUUGGCGGGGUAAUGGCCCACCAAGGCUAUGACGGGUAGGGGGCGUGAGAGCGUGACCCUCAACGACGAAACUGAGAUACGGUUCGUACACCUACGGGUGGCAGCAGUCGAGAAUAUUCGACAAUGGGCGAAAGCCUGAUCGAGAAAUACCGCGUGUAGGAAGAAGGCCUUCGGGUUGUAAACUACUUUUGCUAGGGACGAAUUUUGACGGUACCUAGAGAAUAAGGGGUUGCUAACUCUGUGCCAGCAGCAGCGGUAAUACAGAGACCCCGAGCAUUAUCCGGAAUUACUGGGCGUAAAGCGCGAGCAGCCGGUUGCGUUAGUCUGAUGUUAAACCUUAGGGCCCAACCCUAAGACUGCAUUGGAAACGGCGCACCUCGAGUAGAUGAGAGGAAGGCAGAACGUAUAGUGUAGGGGUGAAAUCCACUGAUAUUAUACGGAAUACCAAAAGCGAAGGCAGCCUUCUAGCGUCUCACUGACGGUCAAUCGCGAAAGCGUGGGGAUCAAAAAGGAUUAGAUACCCUUGUAGUCCACGCCCUAAACUAUGCACACUAGCUAUUGGGAGCAUCGACCCUUCCAGUGGCGAAGCUAACGCGUUAAGUGUGUCGCCUGGGAAGUACGAUCGCAAGAUUAAAACUCAAAGAAAUAGGCGGGAACUUGCACAAGCAGUGGAUCAUGUGGUUCAAUUCGACUCUAACCGAGAAACCUCACCAGGGUUUGAAAUCUAGUGGAAAUCUUUAGGAAACUUUAGACCCCGCAAGGCCGCUAGACAGGUGCUGCACGGCUGUCGUCAGCUCGUCACGUGAGUGGUCUCCUUAAGUGGAUUAACGAGCGCAACCCCUAUCGUGUGUUAUACGUGUCACACGAGACUGCUGCGGUAACGCAGAGGAAGGUGGGGAUGACGCCAAGUCAGCGUGGCCCUCUGAUACCCUGGGCUACACACAUGAUACAAUGGACAUGACAACGGGUUGCCAAGCCGCGAGGCGGAGCUAAUCCCAUCAAACGUGUCCUCAGUUCGGAUAGGAGGCUGCAACUUGCCUCCUUGAAGCUGGAAUUGCUAGUAAUCGCAGAUCAGCAUGCUGCGGUGAAUACGUUCUCAAGUUUUGCACUCACUGCCCGUCAACUCAAGGGAGCCGGUAAUACCUGAAGACCCAUAUUUUCCUGUGGGGACACGGUAGGAUCGGUAACAGGGAGUAAGUCGUAACAAGGUAACC